rnacentral:rRNA from 1 species
GGGGAAUCUUGCGCAAUGGGCGGAAGCCUGACGCAGCAACGCCGCGUGAAUGAAGAAGGCCUUCGGGUUGUAAAGUUCUGUCAGGGGGGACGAAGAGUUGACGGUACCCCCAGAGGAAGCCCCGGCUAACUACGUGCCAGCAGCCGCGGUAACACGUAGGGGGCGAGCGUUGUCCGGAAUUACUGGGCGUAAAGGGCGUGUAGGCGGCCGAUCAAGUCAGGUGUGAAAAAUCAGGGCUUAACCCUGAUCGUGCACUUGAAACUGGUUGGCUUGAGUGCAGGAGAGGAAAGUGGAAUUCCCAGUGUAGCGGUGAAAUGCGUAGAUAUUGGGAGGAACACCAGUGGCGAAGGCGACUUUCUGGACUGCAACUGACGCUGAGGCGCGAAAGCUAGGGGAGCAAAC